rnacentral:lncRNA from 1 species
GUUAAAUUAGGCAGAUUAAAGGAGGGCUCAUAACCCUGCUUCCUGAGAUAGCCGGGUCUGCUUACUCACACACUUCAAAUCAAUAAGCAAGGAAUAUAAGGCAGAAAUACAAGGAAGGGGAGGGCACGAGGUCUCUGGAAUAUACUGACUUUGGAAUAUCCACUCUGCCAUUUAGAGCUGAAGGCUCUGGACCAGCAACUGAAUCCCUCGCUCAGCUCCAGCCCCUCUCCUCUCCAGGGAAGUGACCAGUGCUCACCUUUCACAAUGGUUUCUGUGAAGAUUAGUCAUAAUGUAUGUACAGCGGCUGGCACACAACAAAUGGUGGUUAUAAUUAUCCAUAUCUAAAAAAGAGGGAAGGAAACCAUGAAUAUACCUUUAUAUAACUUCCCACCCGUUUGCCCUCAGAAAGACAUUUCAAGUGGUCUGGAAUCUAGUAUCGGUGGAGGGAUUUCUUACAACUGGACUAUUUGAAGAGGAUUCUUUCAUGAAGAGUGGGCAAAGUGGAAAACAGGGGUCUGAUAUGUCUAUGAUAAUUUGCUCCAGCUCUUGGUUGUUUCCCUUCCUCGUGCCCUCCCAGCACAUGUCCUGGCCAAUGCCCUUGGAGAGCCUUCCAUAUCUUGGGCUGCCUCAGAGCACCUUACACACAUUAAAAAAAAGAGAGAGAAAAAGAAAGAGGAAAGAAAAAGUUAACUUAUUGUAUGGGCUCAACUGUGUCCCCCGAACAAAAAAUUCAUGUUGAUGUCCUAACCCCUGGUACCUCAGAAUGUGACUGUAAAGAUAGGGUCUUUAGAGCUGAUUAAGUUAAAAUGAGGUCAUUAGGGUGGCCCCAAUCCAAUAUGAUUGGUGUCAUUAUACAAAGGGGAAAUUUGGACGCAGAUGCACACAGAGGAAAGAUCGUCUGAAGACACAGGGAGAAGACAACCAUCUAGAAUCCUGGGAGAGGGACCUCAGAAGAAAGCAAUUUUGUCAACACCUUGAUCUCAGACAUCCAGCCAUCUGAAUGGUGAGAAAAUAAAUUUCUCUUGUUAAAGCCA